rnacentral:rRNA from 1 species
AUUGAACGCUGGCGGCAGGCCUAACACAUGCAAGUCGAGCGAGCGGCGGACGGGUGAGUAAUGUCUGGGAAACUGCCGGAUGGAGGGGGAUAACUACUGGAAACGGUAGCUAAUACCGCAUACCAUCAGAUGUGCCCCGAGGGGAUGAGCUAGUAGGUGGGGUAACGGCUCACCUAGGCGACGAUCCCUAGCGGGUCUGAGAGGAUGACCCGCCACACUGGAACGUAGACACGUUCCAGACCCCUACGGGGGGAAGAAGUGGGGAAGAUGGCAAAAUGGGCGCAAGCCUGAUGCGGCCAGGCCGCGUGUGGGAAGAAGGCCUUCGGGUUGUAAAGCACUGUCAGCGGGGAGGCGGUACCCGAAGAAGAAGCACCGGCUAACUCCGUGCCAGCAGCCGCGGUAAUUC